rnacentral:rRNA from 1 species
GCUCCCUUAGGUUAGCGGCGGACGGGUGAGUAACACGUGGGUAACCUGCCUGUAAGACUGGGAUAACUCCGGGAAACCGGGGCUAAUACCGGAUGCUUGAUUGAACCGCAUGGUUCAAUUAUAAAAGGUGGCUUUUAGCUACCACUUACAGAUGGACCCGCGGCGCAUUAGCUAGUUGGUGAGGUAACGGCUCACCAAGGCGACGAUGCGUAGCCGACCUGAGAGGGUGAUCGGCCACACUGGGACUGAGACACGGCCCAGACUCCUACGGGAGGCAGCAGUAGGGAAUCUUCCGCAAUGGACGAAAGUCUGACGGAGCAACGCCGCGUGAGUGAUGAAGGUUUUCGGAUCGUAAAACUCUGUUGUUAGGGAAGAACAAGUACCGUUCGAACAGGGCGGUGCCUUGACGGUACCUAACCAGAAAGCCACGGCUAACUACGUGCCAGCAGCCGCGGUAAUACGUAGGUGGCAAGCGUUGUCCGGAAUUAUUGGGCGUAAAGCGCGCGCAGGCGGUUUCUUAAGUCUGAUGUGAAAGCCCCCGGCUCAACCGGGGAGGGUCAUUGGAAACUGGGGAACUUGAGUGCAGAAGAGGAGAGUGGAAUUCCACGUGUAGCGGUGAAAUGCGUAGAGAUGUGGAGGAACA